rnacentral:lncRNA from 12 species
GGCGGUGCCGGGAGCGGGGCUGCCCGGACGGGGGGGGGGGGGGGGGGGGGGGGGGGGGGGGGGGGGGGGGGGGGGGGGGGCGGGGCUGCCCGGACACCCUGUGCCCUCGCUGCCCUAAGGAGCCGGCGGUGCCGGGAGCGGGGCUGUCCGGACACUCUCUGCCCUCAGAACCGGCGGUGCUGGACCCGGGGCUGUCCGGACACCCUAUGCCCUCGCUGCCCUCGGCUCCGGACGGUGCUGAGGACACUGCCCUCAGAAGCCGGCGGUGCCGGGCCUGGGGCUGUCCGGAUGAGUAACCUCAUCCCAGAGGAAGGGCUGUGUCCGAGAGCUUUAGGAAAUGAAUUGAGAGCAGUUCAAACUGGUAAGGGACCUGGUGGAGUACUAAUAUCUGUGAGUUCAUGUUUCUAGAACAUUUUAAAAUUUGAGUUCUA